rnacentral:sRNA from 1 species
CCAAACUUGGCAUGUGAUACCU